rnacentral:tRNA from 1 species
GCGGAUGUAGCUCAGUGGGAGAGCAGCGGGUUUCCACCCCGUGUGCGCGGGUUCAAUCCCCGCUAUCCGCUCCA